rnacentral:lncRNA from 10 species
UAUAUCUUAAGUAUAUGUUAUUGCAGAAUCUCCCCUUGCUGUGGCUUGCUCACCCCAGUCAUUGACUUGAACCCAGGAGGCAGAGGUUGCAGUGGGCAGAGAUGGCGCCAUUGCACUCCAGCCUGGGCAAAAAAAGUGAAAGUCCGUCUCAAAAAACAACAACAACAACAACAAACUUGUGGGGUUUUUUCUAGGUAUAUUAUUAGUUCAGUCUGCCUUCCAAGUUUGCCCAUGAAGAAAGUAGGUAAGUAGGUGAGGGUGGUAAGUUAUACAUCUUGGAUGCUUAAUGAAAUUUCAGUGAUGCC